rnacentral:rRNA from 1 species
CCCGCUGAGGGUGGCUUUUACUCAGUAUAUCAAGCUGAGAGAAUAAGGAGAGGGCAAGACUGGUGUCAGCCGCCGCGGUAAUACCAGCUCUCCGAGUGGUGUGGAUGUUUAUUGGGCCUAAAGCAUCCGUAGCUGGCUGAACAAGUCCUCUGUUAAACCCAACGAAUCAAUCGUUGGAUCGCGGGGGAUACUGCUCGGCUUGGGGGCGAGAGAGGCAGACGGCAUUUUCGGGGUAGGAGUGAAAUCCUAUAAUCCCGGGAAGACCACCAGUGGCGAAGGCUGUUUG